rfam:TPA: Bos taurus chromosome 3, whole genome shotgun sequence.
UCCCAGGUGGCUCAGCGGCAAAGAAUCCACCUGCCAAGUAGGAGACUCGGGUUCAAUUCCUGGGUUGGGAA